ACAAAUCUUUUAUGAACUCUAGUUGAGAACCAUUGUUGUAGAAGAAAGAAAGAGAAACCUAUUUAUGGCAUAGUGACAGUUCACUCUGUAAGGGGGCUGGUGUUAACGAGGUCAUCCAACGGUAGAAACUAGGCCAAAACAAACAAUGGGGCAGUCCUCUGGUUUGCCAGCUCCUUUCGAAUCAUCCAACCCAUCCAUGCCAGCAUGGAAAACGGACGUUAAACGACGAUGAUGAUGUUUAUCAAGACACAUGAGUGAAAGCAGACUUCCACACUCAAUAAAUUCUGUUAUUUAAUUAUAUUAAUUCUUAUUGUAUUCUAAGAAGAUAUGUUUCUGUACGUAUGUAGGACUGCUGCUGUUGUUUAUUGACUGUUAUUUUAUUCCCCAAUUCUUCGACGGAAACUCAGAACAAUGCUUCAAAACAUUUUGUCCAUUCUCCAACGAUUCAACAAAUCAUCCACUGCUUUUAAUACCGUCUAAUAUUUUGUUUGUUUAUCAGUUACUUCGCUUUGUGUCUUCCGUAAUCGAGAGUACAUUUAAUCGCUUAGCGUCUUCCAUAUAUUUCAUCUACGCGCCUCAAAACUGUUUUUUCUUCCUCAAAACAAAUAUUUCCUCAUUUGUCGACUUCGGUUCCAACCUUUGCUGUUCCGUUUUACAUUUUUAUUAUAAAUUCAAAGCCAUUGAAUUGCUUUGUUUUUAAUUGAAGCUGCAGCAGAAGAGAAAUUUUCAAAUAGGGAUGCAGGCCUCCACAGCAACUGGAAAUGAGGAACCAGUAACAGUUAAGAAGAAAAUAAUCGAAAAUGGUUUUUAUUGUGAUGUGUGUGAGAAGGUGUUUUCAUCUAGGGCCCAUGCGAGGACCCAUAAACCGGCGCACUUGUUCCUUCGAAAGUUGAAGUGUAGUCAUUGUGCAAAACGUUUCUAUCAAACGCAUCACCUGAAAAAGCACGAAGCGACCCAUUCGUCUGCCCGUCCAUAUGCUUGUGAGAUUUGUAAGAGAGCCUUCAAGGUGGAGUCGAAUAUGAAGCUUCAUAUGGCUGUACAUACGAGGGAGGCCAGCCACGAGUGCCCUGACUGUGGUUUUAAGUUCCAUCAAGCUGGAGCUUUGACGCGUCAUUAUAGGAGCAUUCACCUACGUCAACAGUUUUACGAAUGUAAUGUCUGUAAAACGAAGUUCAAUCGGAAAGAAACACUUCGUUCCCAUUUGGAUUCUCAUAGGAUAGAUAAUCCAUUUAGCUGCAAGCCGUGUGGCAUGUUGUUCCCCGAUAACAGUCAGUUGGUGAAACACACGAAAGCCCAUCACCUCGUCAUCAAAGUUCCGAAAUCAUCUCAGUCACAACAAAGCUAGUCAGUUGCCAGUUUUGGCAUUUAGAAAACCCAAAACGUUUAUAAAGUGGAAUAAAUUGGUGUAUUUUACAGAAA